rnacentral:rRNA from 1 species
GCUGGCGGCGUGCUUAACACAUGCAAGUCGAGCGGAAAGGCCCUUCGGGGUACUCGAGCGGCGAACGGGUGAGUAACACGUGAGUAACCUGCCCCUGACUCUGGGAUAAGCCUGGGAAACCGGGUCUAAUACCGGAUAUGACACACGGUCGCAUGGUCUGUGUGUGGAAAGUUUUUUCGGUUGGGGAUGGGCUCGCGGCCUAUCAGCUUGUUGGUGGGGUGAUGGCCUACCAAGGCGACGACGGGUAGCCGGCCUGAGAGGGCGACCGGCCACACUGGGACUGAGACACGGCCCAGACUCCUACGGGAGGCAGCAGUGGGGAAUAUUGCGCAAUGGGCGGAAGCCUGACGCAGCGACGCCGCGUGGGGGAUGACGGCCUUCGGGUUGUAAACCUCUUUCAGCAGGGACGAAGUUGACGUGUACCUGUAGAAGAAGCGCCGGCUAACUACGUGCCAGCAGCCGCGGUAAUACGUAGGGCGCGAGCGUUGUCCGGAAUUAUUGGGCGUAAAGAGCUCGUAGGUGGCUUGUCGCGUCUGCCGUGAAAGCCCGUGGCUUAACUACGGGUCUGCGGUGGAUACGGGCAGGCUAGAGGCUGGUAGGGGCAAGCGGAAUUCCUGGUGUAGCGGUGAAAUGCGCAGAUAUCAGGAGGAACACCGGUGGCGAAGGCGGCUUGCUGGGCCAGUUCUGACGCUGAGGAGCGAAAGC